rnacentral:rRNA from 1 species
AUUGAACGCUGGCGGCAUGCUUUACACAUGCAAGUCGAACGGCAGCGCGGGCUUCGGCCUGGCGGCGAGUGGCGAACGGGUGAGUAAUGCAUCGGAACGUGCCCAGUAGUGGGGGAUAGCCCGGCGAAAGCCGGAUUAAUACCGCAUACGACCUGAGGGUGAAAGCGGGGGACCGAAAGGCCUCGAGCUAUUGGAGCGGCCGAUGUCGGGUUAGCUAGUUGGUGGGGGAAAGGCUUACCGAGGCGACGUUCCGUAGCUGGUCUGAGAGGACGACCAGCCACACUGGGACGUAGACACGGCCCAGACUCCUACGGGAGGCAGCAGUGGGGAAAUUUGGACAAUGGGGGCAACCCUGAUCCAGCCAUGCCGCGUGCGGGAAGAAGGCCUUCGGGUUGUAAACCGCUUUUGUUCGGGAAGAAAUUCUCUGGGCUAAUACCCCGGGGGGAUGACGGUACCGGAAGAAUAAGCACCGGCUAACUACGUG